UGAAAGAGCAUGUGUGUUUGAAAUGUUGAAUGCUUCGAAACAUUGCAUGAAGAUGAGUCCUCAGAAAAUACUAUUGGAUUAGGUUCUGGUUGGGAAGUCAUACCAAAUAAAAAAAAAUAUGAAGAUACACAAAGAGUAUUGCCCUCAAAAGUGACUAUUAUUUUGUUCAACAGGUUUCAAACAAUGUUAAAUGAGCCUAUUAUAUUGCCUAAUAUUUACCUGAUAUUCAACUUUUAACCAACUCCAACAUCUGAUCCUUACAAAAUUUGUAGUGGCUUUUAAGGGAUGAAUCAGCUAUUUAGAUACUAGGAGGCCUCACAAAUAACCAAUCCAAAGAUAAAUAAUAUUUUCCAUUAAUUACAUUUUCAAAUGAUCUAAAGUUUUAAUCAUUGUUUAUUGUCAUCAUAAGCCUUGUCAUCAUUAACCCAAGACUUGUAAGUCAUACUGCCCAAACUCAAAGAAAAAAUCCAGUUGAACAAAAAUAUCUAUAAGACUGAUUGUACCAUAAUUAUCUUGUAACCAAGAAAAUUGGCAUCAAUCCAGAAAAUACUUUUUGUUGAUAAAAAGUGAGAUGAGAAUAUAUUCAACUUAAAGUAGUGUUUUAAGUCUGUGACUUGAAAAUCUGUGACAUUAAUGUUGAUUUUUUUUUCCAGAGGAAGAUGUUUGUAUUCCUGAGAAAAGCAGCCAAUAGAGUGAUGUCUCCUUAAAUGUACAGAUAAAGAAGGAAAUCAUGUUCAUAUGAAGCGUUCUUAAAAUUCUGGGAGCACAAAUCAGAGACCUCAACCGUCCCUGAAGUGUCAGUGAUUAUUUUACAUAGCGGACAUUUGGGCUAAGGCUAAAAGAAGGAGUUUCAAGGAGGACCAGAGUGUUCACUGCUAUACUGCCGUAUGGUGUGUGUCUGCCAGAGAGGUUGAGGUAAGCUUGUCAGAACGAUAUGAGCUCUGUAUUUGGCUGUAUAAGCACUUUAAAAGUCUAUUGAAGGGGAUUCCUGGGUGGCGCAGUGGUUUGGCACCUGCCUUCAGCCCAGGGUCUCAUCCUGGAGUCCCGGGAUCGAGUCCCACAUCGGGCUCCCCGCAGGGAGCCUGCUUCUCCCUCUGCCUGUGACUCUGCCUCUCUCUCUCUCUGUGUCUCUCAUGAAUAAAUAAAUAAAAUCUUAUAAAAUCUUAUAAAAU
rnacentral:lncRNA from 12 species